GAGAACUGCCAUACCAUGCUGAAAACACUGGUUCUCGUCUGAUCCCUGAAGUUAAGCAGCAAUGGAUCUGGACAGCAGUUGGCUAAGUGAUUGCCUGGGAAUCCUAAAUGCAGUUCUCU
rnacentral:rRNA from 1 species